AGAACACAAACUCAUCCCGUAGGAAAAAGCCUCUCCAUCCACUGUUGGGGGAGUGCUCCUUCGGGUACUUGAUAUACGCCAAUGGGAUGAUUGAUUGAAUUUUGGUCAUGUAUUUAUCUUGAUUUGACUUUUGGGGUUCCUACUCAGCAUUGCUGAAUUUUCUUUGUUUUUGAUUUUCAGAGCAGCCUCCCUCUAGUACUAAAUCGGAUUCCAGUGGAGAGCGGACCUUCCUCUACCGCUAGGUAGAGCCACUAGGAUGACUCUUGAAGUUAACAUCACUAU
rnacentral:lncRNA from 1 species